AGCAUCAUCAAAAAGAUCUUAAAGGAAGAACGGAGAGUAAAAGGUGCAGCUGUAAGAGCCUUUGCAUUAGUCGCUACUUUAACAUUUCAGCAAAUAAAUGGCCAAACACACCCAAAAUCAGUUUGCAUCUGCCUCACCAGUUUGACCUUCAAACUUGGCAGAUGAACAGUACCUUGCCAGCUCUAGCGAGGGAACUGUUCAUUCCAAACAAUAGAAAAUCAUUGUUCAUGCAGAAACACACCCAAAAUCAGUUUGCAUCACUCUCUCUCUCUCGACCAUGCUCUCUGUCCUCUCUCUUCGACUUUGCACCAUUUUUGUAAAGGAGCUCACUGUUAAUUGGCCUUGGCGGCACAGGGAAAUGGGGUUUUAUACGUUGCCAAUCGAAACCCAUUUCAGUUGGGUGUGCGUGUCUGCCGUGUACUGGUGAGUGGCUGGCAGCGUGUGGGAUUAGUUGUGCUGCAGGUGUGGGUUUGUUUGAUGAUGGGUUCAAUUUUUUUGGCUCUAUCUGUUUUAGUAGCUGAUGCAAUUUGUUGCUCAAAAUCAUCAUUUUUCUUUACUCAAUUUUACUUCUGUUUGAAUGUGUUUGUUCAUGUUUCUGGGUUUUAAACUGAAUAGCUGUUUUUUUUUUCAUGGUACUCUAUUUAUUCUAACGUGCUGAGGUUCAGAACUCUGUUCUACAUUUUACUCACUUCUCAGAUUUUCAAUAAUCUUUUGGGUCUGUUUGGUAGUUGGGGAAAGAGUUUGAUUUAUUAAAGAACGAAACUUUAACUUUA